GCUGGUGGGGGUGAAGUUUGGAGAGGCUUCUCGUCUGUGUUGUUGGCGCUUAUUAAGAGCAUGAUGCAUAAAAUCCCAGGUUGUCAGAAAAGUAUGCAGGAGGCUGCUGCACGUUCAUUCACCAGCUGACAGAAAAGCAGACGGGAGCCGGCGUUCAGACACAGAACAGGGCAGAGAAAACCAGCUGACAGCAGUGAGUGUGACUGCAGGAAAAGUGGUGGAAAUGCAUGGAGCAGGACGAGCAGAAAGAGCUGCUCCUGUCUGCUGGGGAACAACAGGAAGGAAGGGUGUGUUUCAUGGCAUUCUGCAGAAAAAAGGAAAGUGCUGCUGUUACUGAAACACUUAGACUGUUGAUGGGAUUUCUUGUUUUAUGGAAGGAAACUGUAACCUGUUAGCUGCUAAUUCAGGCAGCAGACAAUCCACUCAACAUGAUAGCAGACCUCAGUGAUGGAAUACCCCUGACCUGCAGUGAGGAUGUGUUCAGCUUCACUGCCCCUGAAAACCAGCUGCAGUCGUAACAUUGAUGGAAGAAUGAAGGAUAACAGUUUGGACUCAAAGGCACAGCUCAGCACACACAGUAGGAAGGAUGUUAGAAAGCUCGUUGUUGUUGGUCUUGUUGAUGGUGAGGACGGCUUGGUGAGGAUCCAGAGGAAGGUGUGUGGUUGGAUGAGAGGAAACAUCAGCUGUAUGUUCCUGGGAGUUCUGCAGGGUUAGAAAGGUGGAAGGUGUGACACGGAGCAGGUGUGCUGGUUUGACUGACUGUGUGAUGACAGGAGAAGCUGAUCCUGGGGGUUGGAAGCUGAAGGUGGAUGGAAGCUGGUGUAGCUACUGGUAGGUUUGAUCUGAGGAGCUGAGGCACAAGGAAUCACCGGAGAGCCCGAGACGUACUCUGGAAGCACACAACUAGAAGCAGGGUUUCCAAAGCACUGCUAGGAUCAUGACCAAAGUGGAACUACCUGAACAUAACCUCAUCAAACUGGAGUCGCCAGUGGCUCAUGAAAACACCACCUGCACUGGAGGUUACAAGACCAACCUCCAUAGCUGAGGUCUGCCAUCUCAUGUGCAGUCAGAAGCCUCAGUCCUGUCGCACUGAGGCAGGAAACAGCAUGCAGGAAAUUGAAGAGAAAAGCAUCUCAAUAAACUUUCAAAAAAUAUAAGUUUGGCUAUAGAUGAUGGAGCCUGCAUAGAGCUGAGGUUUAGCAAACAACAGCCUGUGUUUUGGCCUCCGUUGCCCACAGUGACACCUUGGAGCUGCCCAGAACAACCACAGCUGUCAAGGUCACCUCUGUGGGACUCGGCCGUCACUCGCUCACCUCCUGGUCGGGGACAUUUGCAGACGUCGCUUUUCCACGUGUUUGGUUUAACUGCAGUAAUGAUGUGUUGUAUUUGUUGCAAAGCAUGUAAAUGUCACCAAACUUUUUCUGCUAGAUGAUUAAACUGGGCAACAGGAAGUGGCUAAGCGAUGUAGUGAAAUGUGUAAUGAUGUAGGCCUCAGUGGAAGAGGAUUUAUCUGCUAAAUCCCAGCAGCUGGCCCUGCUAUCGUGGACAAUGACCCUAAAUAAUGUCAACAGCUCGUUUCCACCAGAGCUGUGUGUGUGUGUGUGUGUGUGUGUGUGUGUGUGUGUGUGUGUGUGUGUGUGUGUGUGUGUGUGUGUAAGCUGCUAGCGGUGCAGCUCACUGAUAUCGGCUCGUUUCUGUUCCGCUCACCACUUUAUAGUGAACAAAGCAGCAGUCGGACGUUGGGUUCGUAGGUGCUGAGUCAAAGAUUUUCUCUCGUAAUGUAAUCCAAGCUUCAGCACACACAAGCGUAAUUACUCCUCAAAGGUUUAUACUGCAAUAAAAUCAACACACAGCUGUAGAUGUUUUGAUUUGGAAAAAGGAUCGUUUAAACUGUCUGAUUGAUCCUGAUCGGUUUCAGUUUUGACUAUUUGUGACUGAAUCACGCAUUAACAUUCAUACAAAUUGAAUCAACAUUUAUGCUUCUUUUCACAGAUGUAAUGAUGAGAAUAAAACAUUUUGACCACUACUUUUAUAAAUCUAUUUUUAAGCAGCGAUGCCAAACACUUGAUGGUUCGGUUCGAGCUCCUCCAUUGUGAGAAUUUCUUCCUUUUGCUUGUUUUGUAUUGGACUGUUAAUCAACAACUAGCAAUUUGAAGGCUCCGUUUACCUUUUGGCAGACCAAAUGUUCAGGUGAUUACCUGAGGAAACAGUGGUUGGAUUAAUCAGAAGGAGCAGCUGCUGCUUUAAAUCAUCUGUUCUGUUUUGUUAGACUGCUUUGAAUGGCUGCUUAUUGUUUGCUUUCAGGUGCUGCUUCUCUUACGCUCAGCUCAGUGUUCUGUCACUGUGAAUGUUGGCAUGUUGCUUCUGUCAUUUUCUUCUUCUCUAAUUGAUUAGACAAAGCCUAUCGGUGAAUCGUGCAGUCGAUUUUGGGUUAAAAUGCCUCUUUGUGCCUCCUGCUCCCCAGCGCCGGCCCAGAUUAAAGUCAGUCAUGAGAGUGAGCGUGAGCUGAGGACAGGGGAAUGAGCAAAUCCAAAACACUUCAAAAUUUGUCAUUAGUGUGGCGCUACAUUCUUUCAUUACCGAGUUUAUCAGAGCAACCAGCCAUAAGGCGCAGGUUCAUGCACCCUUGAGCACAAAGACUCAAGUUGUUCUACAUUUACAGAAUCAUUUAACUUCUUUAAUUAUUCUUUAAAUUACAAUUGCAAAUAAAGGCUCUGCCCGCGGUGGAUAUGCAUGGCCUGCAAAAAGAGCAACAUUUUUAAUGAUUACUUUGCAUCGUACCAAACUAAUCUCCCAUGGACAAGAAAUGAAUGAAAAAGGGAAGAUUUUCUCUGCCAUUCUGCUUUAAUGGAGGGUGCAUCCGUCAUCAGGCGCAGUGACUGUUCUGGACCAGAUGUUGCAGAACUAACCAACAAUUGGGCUGAAAAUAGAAAAGGAGCAGGGGCGGGGAGGUUGGAAUAAAUUAAUUGCUAAUUUCUCAGUCUUUGAUGGAAUUAGGCUCACUUCUUUCCCCCUAUGUGCUGUGUGAAUGUCCAUGCGUUAAACGUUUUUUCUUCUCCCGCCACCCCCUCUCCUCUCUUUGCUUUCCUGACGGUUAAGGGCCACCCAGAGGAGAGUGAGUGAUGCAAAACCGAGGAGUAAUCCCUCUGUUUAUCUCGGCUUCGAGGCUCGGCCCCAACCUCUGCCUCUAUUAUCCCGAGGAUUUAAGGCAAACUUUCAUUUAUUGGCCGGCCUCCGUUCUCUAUCCCGGCUCCUGAGCUCAGGAUACCCCCUCCCAGAGCCUCUGUCCCAGUGUGAGCGGAUUUGCAUGGAGCAACAAUGCAUGUUGCCAGGGCAGUGGCCAGUCAGCGGUGGGACAAGCCUGCUCAGAAGCGCAGUUUGCUCAGGCAGCACAUGGCUAUAGAAGAAUGUGGCCUUCAGGGGGGAAGGAGCAGCACCUGCGUGGCGUGGCAGCCAGGCCUCACUACGCCACCGAAAACAGCAGAUGUACCGCAAUAUGGACGCCGACUCCCUCCCCCCCUCGUUCACACAAAUGAACAAACGGGGCAGGAAGCGUCCGGCCCAAAAUGAACAAACGGGCUUUUGGAGGAGGGUGGAGUGUCGGAGGAGAGGCCUCACCUGCUGAAGAGCUUCACCUGCUGCUUUACCACGUUUGGCCAGAACCUGCUCGUUUCCUCACGUUCUCCUCGAUCUUCCCACAAUAAAAAGCUCUGAACAGCA